CUUCUCUGUGGAGGUGAUGUCCUGGCUCCUCACUGAAGCAUGAAAAUGAAGUGGCUGCUUUAAGAGCAGGCUUUCCAAGCAAAGGGGAUAGCAAGGACAAAGCCCCCAAGACCUAGUAAAUCAGAAUCUCUGAAGAUGCAGCCUGGACAUCUGUAUUUCUCAUCAGCCCCUCACAUGAUUCAUCUCCAUCCUCAAAUUUGAACACCACUGCUCCAGGCUGAGAGGCAGAGAACGAGAUCAGGUGCAGAGGAUAUAAUGACAAACAGGACCAAAUGCCUGCCUUCAAGAUGCUCACUGUCCAGCAGAGCAGAGGCCAGGAAAUGGUGACACAGUAAGAGAAGUGAUGGAACAGACAGCUGUUUUGAGCUUUAUCAUUGAGAUGCCCUAAAUGCUAAUGAAGUGGGAAGGUAUGUGGCUCUCAUGCUGGCCCUCUGAGUGCUUGGGCCUGCUAGUUUAUAGCUCUUGUGUCCUUCCUUUUUUGUCAGUUGACAUUCCUUGCUUCUGUCGAUUUGUCUGCCUUCAAACGACAUUCCCAUCCUCAUCUAAUGCACGCUUCUAAUCUGCUAUGGGCUGGAAACCAGAUACCCAGAACUUGCUGGAAUGUUGCUCUCUCAGAAAGGCCUUCUCUGGGGGCUGGCCCCGUGGCCGAGUGAUUAAGUUCACAUACUCCG